rnacentral:rRNA from 1 species
CAAUACGAGCGGCAGACGGGUGAGUAACGCGUGGGAAUCUACCCAUCUCUACGGAACAACUCCGGGAAACUGGAGCUAAUACCGUAUACGUCCUUUUGGAGAAAGAUUUAUCGGAGAUGGAUGAGCCCGCGUUGGAUUAGCUAGUUGGUGGGGUAAUGGCCUACCAAGGCGACGAUCCAUAGCUGGUCUGAGAGGAUGAUCAGCCACACUGGGACAGAGACACGGCCCAGACUCCUACGGGAGGCAGCAGCA